CCCGCCGGCGACCGGCGCACGGGUGAGUAACACGUAUGAAACCUGCCCGUAGCAGGGGGAUAAGCGGAAGAAAUUCCGUCUAAUACCGCGUAACAACCCAUGGAGGCAUCUCUGUGGGUUUAAAGGAAGCGAUUCCGGCUACGGAUGGUCAUGCGUCGCAUUAGCUUGUUGGCGGGGUAACGGCCCACCAAGGCGACGAUGCGUAGGGGUUCUGAGAGGAAGGUCCCCACACUGGUACUGAGACACGGACCAGACUCCUACGGGAGGCAGCAG
rnacentral:rRNA from 1 species